rnacentral:rRNA from 1 species
UACAGAGGUCCCAAGCGUUGUUCGGAUUCACUGGGCGUAAAGGGUGCGUAGGCGGUCGGGUAAGUCUGAUGUGAAAUCUCACAGCUUAACUGUGAAACUGCAUUGGAUACUAUCCGGCUCGAGGAAUGGAGAGGAGACUGGAAUACUUGGUGUAGCAGCGAAAUGCGUAGAUAUCAAGUGGAACACCAGUGGCGAAGGCGAGUCUCUGGACAUUUCCUGACGCUGAGGCACGAAAGCCAGGGGAGCAAACGGG